GGCUGUGCGGGCGGAGAGCUGUCGGUAAGGAAAGAAAUAAACAGCAGCAAGCGGGAGGGAAAUGGUGUUGGUCCGGGCUGAGAGGUUUUACAAACAUUUGGUGCACAUCGGAAAAUACAAAUUUGAAACUUACAGUCUCGUUUUUGCAGUCAACGGGAAAAUACCUCAUCUCGCGAUUGACUCGUAUACCCGUGAUUAAUGCCAAAGCCCUGUUGCCUGGGGAGAGGGUGAUGUUUGACUUUCUUGUACAGCUGCAGUUUGUGUGGUGAAGGUGCUCCCACAAUGGGGUUGGGAUGAGGCUAUCACUGGCUCGGCCAGCAUUUAUUGCUGCGUUUACCCAGAGGGCAGUUAAGAGUCAACCACGUUGCUAUAGGUCUGGAGUCCCAUGCAGACCAGACCAGAUCCCAGUGAUCAGUGCCAAAGCCCCAUUGCCUGUGGAGAGGGUGAUGUUUGAUUUCCCUGUCCAGCUGCAGUUCAUGUGGUGAAGGUGCUCCCACAAUGUGGUUGGGUGGACAUUCAGAUGGUAAUCUCAGUAAUUGUAACGUCAAACUGUGACAAAAUUACUCAAUUCAUCAGGAGCUGGA